UGGAGGAGGAGUUGCUCCAAGAGUCCCAGGAUGAAUGUGUUUUGAAUCCCUCAGUUCUCCAAGAAGGAUCUGACUGCAACCGGCUAGACAGUGAAGGCAACUUGCCAUUUGAUGAAGAGAAAGUCAGCCGUGCUCCGGAUGUAGCUGGUGCUUGCUCCCAUGUUGCAGAAGAUCCAAUUCCAGCUGACCUCCCAGAAAAUCAGAAUGAGUGUGACGAAGCAGCUGGACAAGAGGCAGUGUCCCCCAGCAUGGAUCUACUGGAGGUUCACAAUGACGACGUGCUCCAGGAGUCCCGG